CCUACGGGCGGCAGCAGUGGGGAAUAUUGGACAAUGGGGGAAACCCUGAUCCAGCGACGCCGCGUGAGUGAAGAAGUAUUUCGGUACGUAAAGCUCUAUCGGCAGGGAAGAAGCAAGACGGUACCUGACUAAGAAGCCCCGGCUAACUACGUGCCAGCAGCCGCGGUAAUACGUAGGGGGCGAGCGUUAUCCGGAUUCACUGGGUGUAAAGGGAGCGUAGACGGCCAUGCAAGCCAGGGGUGAAAGCCCGGGGCCCAACCCCGGGACUGCCCUUGGAACUGCAUGGCUGGAGUGCGGGAGGGGCAGGCGGAAUUCCUGGUGUAGCGGUGAAAUGCGUAGAGAUCAGGAGGAACACCGGCGGCGAAGGCGGCCUGCUGGACUGCGACUGACGUUGAGGCUCGAAAGCGUGGGGAGCGAACAGGAUUAGAUACCCCGGUAGUC
rnacentral:rRNA from 1 species